rnacentral:rRNA from 1 species
GGGAAUAUUGCACAAUGGGGGAAACCCUGAUGCAGCGACGCCGCGUGAAGGAAGAAGUAUCUCGGUAUGUAAACUUCUAUCAGCAGGGAAGAAAAUGACGGUACCUGACCAAGAAGCCCCGGCUAACUACGUGCCAGCAGCCGCGGUAAUACGUAGGGGGCAAGCGUUAUCCGGAUUUACUGGGUGUAAAGGGAGCGUAGGCGGCGACGCAAGUCAGAAGUGAAAGCCCGGGGCUCAACUCCGGGACUGCUUUUGAAACUGCGUUGCUAGAUUGCGGGAGAGGCAAGUGGAAUUCCUAGUGUAGCGGUGAAAUGCGUAGAUAUUAGGAGGAACACCAGUGGCGAAGGCGGCUUGCUGGACCGUGAAUGACGCAGAGGCUCGAAAGCGUGGGGAGCAAAC